AUUGAACGCUGGCGGCAUGCCUUACACAUGCAAGUCGAACGGCAGCACGGGAGCAAUCCUGGUGGCGAGUGGCGAACGGGUGAGUAAUGUAUCGGAACGUGCCCAGUCGUGGGGGAUAACGCAGCGAAAGCUGUGCUAAUACCGCAUACGAUCUAUGGAUGAAAGCGGGGGAUCGCAAGACCUCGCGCGAUUGGAGCGGCCGAUAUCAGAUUAGGUAGUUGGUGGGGUAAAGGCUCACCAAGCCGACGAUCUGUAGCUGGUCUGAGAGGACGACCAGCCACACUGGGACUGAGACACGGCCCAGACUCCUACGGGAGGCAGCAGUGGGGAAUUUUGGACAAUGGGCGCAAGCCUGAUCCAGCAAUGCCGCGUGCAGGACGAAGGCCUUCGGGUUGUAAACUGCUUUUGUACGGAGCGAAAAGGCUCUCUCUAAUACAGGGGGCUCAUGACGGUACCGUAAGAAUAAGCACCGGCUAACUACGUGCCAGCCGCCGCGGUAA
rnacentral:rRNA from 1 species